GCUGUGAUGGCUGAGUGGUUAAAGCGUUGGAGUUGAUAAUCCAAUAGGGUUCCCCUGCACAAGUUCAAAUCCUGCUCACAGCA